GCUUUCCUUAAUAUCCCACAAAACAGGAAUAGAUCUCUCCUACCUACCUCACCUUGUCUGGACUCACAGCUAUGGGACUUCCUCCAUCCUCCUCACAGGGCUUGAAGGCCAGGAGCUCCAUGACCAUCCAGUAGGGCUGUAACGACCACACUGUAACAACUGCUGUUGGCCCCACUUUGAGUUGGAGACCAGCUGGGCCGGCAGCCCAUGCUGGGAAGGGGAUGGGGCUGUGUGCCACCCCCUUCUCUUGGAGGCAUGCCCAGCUUCAGAGUGCUCAGUAGGGCAUGGGUGACUGUAACGGCUGUCAGCCUCCUGAGAAACAUAACACAACAAUGCAGCCCUUUUACUCCAUCCACUGCCACCUAGAACAAAAUGCACUGCAGUCACCAAGCAAGUCAGCACACACAGCACAGUGCAUCGAGGGAUUAAAAAGCUGUGGACCAGAAUGGUAUGUUUUGAAGUGGCACUUUUUCCAUUUGUCACUUGAUUACUUUCUAUUUAUGUUAAUUACAACACAUGUCAAUACACCACCUCAUUAGGACAGCAGACAGUUUGGUGUUGUUGACAAAGAAUCGUGUGAUACCUAUGGACAACCAUUUACAACAAUAUCACAUGGAUCAGCAGCAAAGUGAAAUGGAUGGAAAACAUCACUCUUUCCGGGCUCCUGGAAAGCUUUUCUUUUGAGUGUAGGCUAUGCUUCCUACAUCUGGAGAAGGCAGCAAGCUAUCUGUGAUUAAGAUAAAUGGAUAGAAUUUACUUUUAAUUUCCUACAUAUAAGCCAGACCCCAACGAUUACAUCUACGCUGGUGUGGAUUUAUUGUCCUAUAAAUGAGAGAUUGUAUCACCUAAGCUGGGAUUCCUAUCUCAAAUAUUGAGCUAACCUCAGAAAAUAUGUCUAUUCUUUUUGUUACCCCAUUUAUGAGAGUCAUUUCCUUUACUAGUAAUUAACUUAUAUAACUGCAAUAGAACACUGCUAGUAUUAACAACCUGGUACUAGCUAAUCACUGUUUUUCUUUAAAAAGGAGCCGUUGACUGCAUUGCACAUUAUAACAUUUGUUCUGAAUGUAUAACUGAAGGACUUUCUCCAGCCUGUGGUUCCAUAUCUGUCGGCCCACACAGUUAACUUGAUGUCAUCGGAGAGGAUGACUUAUUUGCAGGGGGCUGGAAAAAAAAACAGUACAAUGUUGUCAUACUUCAAAAAUACUUGUCAAACAAUAGUAUUAACAAUUGAAAAGGAUAAUACCAUUCAGUCGUGAAAUACUGACAAUCUAUUUUCAUGAAAACUUAGUUCUAAGAAUGCUACUAUACUAUGUAUGGACAUGUAUGUGUGUGUACAUCUAAUUCUAAACUAAUAAAUGUACCAUUUUAGAAUAUACCACUUUUUCUGCAGAUUCUUUUGCAGAGUUUGGAUCUGAGGAAGGAACUGUUUGGUUAUUUUAAGGAAGGAGUAAUAUUAAAGGGAGGAAUGUACACAUAAAGGGAGUUCAAUUCUCCUCUGAGAGUAAAGCAGAAACAAUUAUACAGUAAAACCAAUGUAAAUGAUGGGGAACAUCAAGCACCAAAAAUCAGAGGCAGACUGCACCAAGAAAUGUUGAGACUACAGGAUGAUAAAUAUAGAUAUUACUACCGCCUAUGACCAAAACUAUCCUUUAAGACUGAAAUAUUUUUUAUAAUUAUUUGUGUGCAUCACAGUAAUGCCUUAAGGCAGUGUACAAUAUACAGCAAGAGAAUAUUUUUAGCCCAGACAGAGCCAAUCUAAACAAAAGGCCACUAGCUGAAAGGAAAGUAGCAUUGCUAGUCAAUGUAGCAGAAGGUAAAAAAAUCAAGGAAAUAAAUUGCCAGAUUUGCACAGGAGGUCUUGGGGAGAGAGCCCUGUCUCUCUUUAGUUAUUAGGUAUGAUGCUUAGCUACAGACCCUCACUUGGGACUUUCAGAGUAGAGCUGUUCAGACUUAGGCUAUGUGGUGUUGGGCCUUCAGUCAUGUACCACAUGUCAGCCAGCAACAAUCACCAUGCUGCUCAGCCAAAGAAGACAUCACUUCAUCAGCUGCAAUUAUGUGGCGUGAACUGGUAGAAAGCACACAGUGCAGGAGAGCAUGCUUAUAUGGCACAGAUACAAGGUCACUAUGGACAAGGUUACCCGGUCAUUUCCAUAAAGCUGUUUUGUUCGGUUGCAAACUGAAAACUACUGUAAGGUUCAAUGCUGUCCUGUCUUGAAAAGAUGGAAUCUCCUUCUAGCCAAAAUAAUUUAUUCCAAUUGUCAAAGCUCAUCAGCCUCUCAGUGUGAGUCUUGCAUAAAUGGAUUUAUUCCUGGCUAUUUCAUUUGCACACUCCAUGAAAUUUUUUUCCACCUAUUUAAUUUCAUCAAGACAUUCUUCAUGAAGACUAGUAAACUCACUGCAAGAACACAGUAAUGUAAAACACACUGUCUCCUUCUUAUAUUCCUGUGGAAAAGAUAGGAUAAACUAUAGCAUGCUUUAACAACUCAUAUACUUAGAAAAAUUCCCAUUUUAAAAUGCUGUUCCUGAAAUGGGAACAAUAUGGAAGCAUAUGAUAAAUAAAGCAAUAAAGCAUGCUUAUAGGUAACUGAUGAUAUAAUAAAGUGCUACCAAAUUGGAUACGGAUUUUCUUUUAAAGUCUCCCACGGUGAAAUCUGUAGCAGUCAGAAUUCUACAAGAGUGGUAUAAAAUGCUCCUGUGAAACUGCAGAGUCUGGGAAUAUUACUAUGGUGAUUUUGCAGCUAUUUUUCUAAACAUUGUGCCUCUCUGUUGCAAAGAAUGUCAAGUGGCAGCUGUGAUGAACAUGUCAUUGCUAAGGCACAGGGUUUGGGAAGCAUAGUUAUAUUUUUCUAUUUCUG
ensembl:lncRNA